AAGUGUUUGGUUCGUGACUAACUUUAGGCAGCCACAAAAAGUGUGGCGAGGUUCCCUGAGCUUGCCAUACUUUUUUUCGCCGCAUCUGGGGCGCUCGUUUUCGAUGCCCCAGCACCGCUACGCGCCGCACUUCGCCCCCUUCUCUCCCUCUCAUGCCGCUGGUUGAUCUCUCGUCAUCUCCUCCUCCAAGCACGGAUCUUCUCGUCGUCUCCUCCAAGCACGGUGAUGUCCCUCGUAUUUCUGCCACCCGGUUUUCUUGGCUCCCCUGUAUUCUUCUUCGCUCCUCCGCGUAGAUCUGCCCGUCGUUUCUUCUUUGAUUGUGCGGGCCGACGGCACCACACACGCACCCACCCCCAUCCUGCAGCAGAUCCGCACGGCACCACACACGCAGAUCCCCACGGCACCCUACAGCAGACCUCUGCAUUUCACAGUCCCCAGGCCGCUAGGGGCUAGAUGGCUAGUCGGAGCGUCGGGCUCUGCUGCUAGGGGUAGCGUCAGGCUCUGCCGUCACAUCUAGGAGACGCUUGGUGUGAAGGAGAUGUCUGUACGUGCCAUGGCAUCUAGGAGCUUGGAUGGCUGGUGUGAAGGACUAGUACGUUGUCUGUUGAAUGCUAGUGAUGGCUGGUGUGAAGGAGCAGCAGCAAGCCAAGUACUACUACUCUGAAACUUUGUAAAAAUAUAUCAGGUUCCUGUUUUAGCUGGCCGCUAGCUGAUGCAAAGGUGUGCUGGAUCAGAAACCUGUUUUAGCAGCUGGAAUGUAGGAAAGAAUAUUUCUUAUUUUAGCAGCUGGAAUGUAGGAAUGCAUAGUUCUUCUAAUAGUUCUCUCCCUCAGAGCCUAACGAUUUAUUUUUUUCUUGUGCUUGUGCAGGACCAGGAGCACUGAAAUUCUAUCUCAACCGGUUCUGCCGACUGGGUAACUUGAAUUCUAAAGAUGGGUGUGAAGGAGAUGUAUCUUCAAUAUUACAAUAGUUACAUCCAGUACCUACGAAGAAGAAGGGUUGAUCCAAGCAGGAGGUGAAUGUGUGAUGGUUGGUUAUUUUGCAUUUCUUCUAGGUUGAUGCAUGACGGUUCAUGGAGAAGGCUGGUGGUUGUGAUAGCUAUCACACACUCUUUUGGUUAAUAAUUAGAUACUCUUUUUGUUGAGCAAUGUGAACCUUUAAUGGUGUUUAUGGGUC